UACAGAGGCCCCAAGCGUUACUGAGAAUCACUGGGUUUAAAGGGUGCGUAGGUGGCGCGUUAAGUCCGUUGUGAAAUCCCUGGGCUCAACCCAGGAAUUGCUUCGGAUACUGGCGUGCUUGAGGCUAGUAGGGGUCACUGGAACUGACGGUGGAGCGGUGAAAUGCGUAGAUAUCGUCAGGAACGCCGAUGGUGAAGACAGGUGACUGGGCUAGUUCUGACACUGAGGCACGGAAAGCGUGGGGAGCGAACGGG
rnacentral:rRNA from 1 species